rfam:Haematospirillum jordaniae strain H5569, complete genome.
GGCGGGAGGGCGGCGAAUAGAAUACCCGCAAGGGAAAUAAGUCCGCCCGGUACCUCUGACUGUGGGCAGUGUUAUUGGGUUUUUGACCUCCCGCCACCACGUG